GCCUUCGUAGUGUAGUGGUUCAGCACACUCGACGGGUAACCGAAAGGUCCGUGGUUCGAUUCCCGGAGAAGGCG
rnacentral:tRNA from 1 species